rnacentral:tRNA from 1 species
AGAGGUAAAGCUCAGUGGUAGAGCACUUGCCUAGCAUGCAAGACCUGGGUUCCAUCCCCAGUACCCUA